rnacentral:rRNA from 1 species
UACGUAGGGGGCGAGCGUUGUCCGGAUUUAUUGGGCGUAAAGAGCGUGUAGGCGGCCAGGGAGGUCCGGUGUGAAAACUCGAGGCUCAACCUCGAGACGUCACCGGAAACCCUCUGGCUAGAGUCCGGAAGAGGAGAGUGGAAUUCCUGGUGUAGCGGUGAAAUGCGCAGAUAUCAGGAAGAACACCUAUGGCGAAAGCAGCUCUCUGGGACGGUACUGACGCUGAGACGCGAAAGCGUGGGGAGCGAACAGG